UAACAAAAAAAAGAGGAUGGCAUAAGGUGAAAUGAGACAUUCAGCUCAUAUGAAUUGGACUGGAGAGCUUCCUGCCCGGAGGGGAUCAGCCAUGACUUUGUGACCAGAAAUAGGAGCCUCCUGUGGGGAAGAGGAGCUGGCAGACAGACACACCUCCCCAUGGGAGGGCUCCACAGAGCAAAGAUUACCCAGCAGCCUUCACUCUCAUUCAAGCACGGCCCUUAAAUGCUCCGGAGAAAGGGGGGAAAAAAAAGCGGAUACAGAUGUGUGAGGGUGUAAUCUUGAGAAUAAGGCUGAAAUAGUGGAAGAGAUUUAAAGGGCGUGGAAGCGAAAGUGAUGGAGACGCGGAGUGACGGAGAAGAGGAGAGAGAGAGUGAAAAAAGAGAGAAAAUCCUGCUGGAACAUGGCGAGGUGGAGCACAGCGUGCUGCUGUUCGUCAUCCCACAGACUCUCCCUUCACUUUUGCCCAGCAGCUGUGAAGCAUGGACACAGGAACUUCUUAGGGAGGAGCUGCAGAGUUUAUUAAUGUGCAAACUCUAACCUACAUUGUGCAUCAACUGCCACAGAACAACUUCGCCUCCACCCUUUUCCUCAGCUCCCAUCGCCAGCACUUUGUGCUCUUCAGAUGAAACGAGUAUAAACAGACGCUUCAGUGUCUCGUGAAUGUUGUCGUCACAUGAGCGCCCCUCUGAUGCGACGUCUAGACACGGGGUUACACAACGUGGGCGCCAAGUGUGAAAGUGACAACUGUGUCGGUCAGAAACUGGCAAUGACACUUUUUCUCGGACCUUAAUGUUAUAGA